UACGUAGGGAGCAAGCGUUGUCCGGAAUCAUUGGGCGUAAAGCGCGCGUAGGUGGCUUCGUAAGUCCGCUGUGAAAGUCAAAGGCUCAACCUUUGAAAGCCGGUGGAUACUGUGAAGCUAGAGUACGGAAGAGGCGAGUGGAAUUCCUGGUGUAGCGGUGGAAUGCGCAGAUAUCAGGAGGAACACCAAUAGCGAAGGCAGCUCGCUGGGACGUUACUGACACUGAGGCGCGAAGCGUGGGAGCGAACAGGA
rnacentral:rRNA from 1 species